CUCUAGAUUGCCUCUCUAGCCAUGUGACUUGACUGAACCAAUGAAAUGUAAGUAGACGUGACAUGAGUCGCUUCCAAGCAGAAGCUGCAAAAAACAACUCAUGUUUUUUCUCCCUCUCUUCCCCCUCUGCCACAAGAGCAACAUCAACCCAUAUGGAGCUGCUCAUUAGCCUGGAUUCUGGACUCAAGAUACUGAAGAGCUGAGUGCCAGCUGAUCUAUAAUGGGCAUGCAAUCAAUCAGCAAGACAAUUCAAGCCCUGAUUGGUAGAGCUUGCCAAUUUCUAUUGUGUGAAUACUGUCUCUACGGCCAAUUUCAAGCUACCGAUGUGUCCUCACUGAAUACAGUGCUAGGAAGUGAUGCUGGGAAGAAAUGCCCUCCCACGUGUAAGCGCAAUAGACGUACAUAACCUCAAAAGCAUAAGUAAUAGUAGAAUGAUGAGACACGGUAAGUUUUAGUUACUUUUGGAUAUCUA
rnacentral:lncRNA from 1 species